rnacentral:lncRNA from 1 species
CUAAACUCUAAACCCUAAACCCUAAACCCUAAACCCUAAACCCUAAACCUUAAACCCUAAACACUAAAAUCUAGUAAGACUUAUGCACUUAUUCGACAAACUACAUUGAUUCAGAAACAAAAUGGACUAGAUAUGACCUAGACCCGUAACCCUUAACCCUUAACCAUAAUACUGAACCGCAAAACACUAAAGCCUAAACCCUAAACCCUAAACCGUAAACCUUAAACCUUAAAACCCAAAACCUAAAACCAAAACCCUAAUUCUUAAACCUAGUAAAGACCAAAAUGACAUAAAAUAUUAAUGCAUUUUGACUUUUGUUCUUAUUGCACGAACUACAAUGAACAGACCUAGAAUACACCUAGUAAAUAACAAAUGACCUAAAAUCUAUAUCCAUUGAGAAUUUUGCUUUUAUUUCAUGAACUACAUUGAUUAAGAACAAAAAUGGACUAGAUAUGACCUAGACCCUUAACCAUAAACCCGUAACGCAAAACCCUAAACCCUAAACCCUAAACCCUAAACCCUAAACCUAAACCCAAAACCAUAAACCAUAAACCAUAAACCCCAAACCCUAAACCAUAAACCAUAAACCAUAAACCAUAAACCCUAUACCCUAAACCCUAAACCCUAAACCCUAAACACUAAACCGUAAACCCUAAACCCUAAACCCUAAACCCUAAACCCUAAACCCUAAACCCUAAACCUAAACCCAAAACCAUAAACCAUAAACCAUAAACCAUAAACCAUAAACCAUAAACCAUAAACCAUAAACCCUAUACCCUAAACCCUAAACCCUAAACCCUAAACCUAAACCCAAAACCAUAAACCAUAAACCAUAAACCAUAAACCAUAAACCAUAAACCAUAAACCAUAAACCAUAAACCAUAAACCAUAAACCAUAAACCAUAAACCAUAAACCAUAAACCAUAAACCAUAAACCAUAAACCAUAAACCAUAAACCAUAAACCAUAAACCAUAAACCAUAAACCAUAAACCAUAAACCAUAAACCAUAAACCAUAAACCAUAAACCAUAAACCAUAAACCAUAAACCAUAAACCCUAUACCCUAAACCCUAAACCCUAAACCCUAAACACUAAACCGUAAACCCUAAACCCUAAACACUAAAAUCAAACAAAAUGGACUAGAUAUGACGUAGACCCUUAACACUAAACCAUAAACCCGAACCGCAAAACACUAAAGCCUAAACCAUAAACCCUAAACCCUAAACCUAAAACCUAAAACCUAAAACCUAAUCCCUUAACCUAGUAAAGACCAAAUUAACUUAAAAUAUUCAUUAAUUGAGAUUUUUGUACUUAUUGGACAAACUACAUAUAUAAGAACUUAAAUUGAUAGAAAGAAACAUAACAAAAACAAUAAUGACCUAAAAUUAUGCACUUAUUCGACGAACAACAUUGAUUAAGAAACAAAAUGGACUAGAUAUGACCUAGACCCUUAACCCUAAACCAUAAAACCAAACCGCAAAACCCUAAAGCCUAAACUCUAAACCCUAAACCCUAAACCCUAACCCUAAACCCUAAACCUUAAACCCUAAACACUAAAAUCUAGUAAGACUUGUGCACUUAUUCGACAAACUACAUUGAUUCAGAAACAAAAUGGACUAGAUAUGACCUAGACCCUUAACCCUUAACCCUUAACCCUUAACCCUUAACCCUUAACCAUAAUACUGAACCGCAAAACACUAAAGCCUAAACCUUAAACCCUAAACCGUAAACCUUAAACCUUAAAACCCAAAACCUAAAACCAAAACCCUAAUUCUUAAACCUAGUAAAGACCAAAAUGACCUAAAAUAUUAAUGCAUUUUGUCUUUUGUUCUUAUUGCACGAACUACAAUGAAUAGACCUAGAAUACACCUAGUAAAUAACAAAUGACCUAAAAUCUAUAUCCAUUGAGAAUUUUGCUUUUAGUUCAUGAACUACAUUGAUUAAGAACAAAAAUGGACUAGAUAUGACCUAGACCUUUAACCAUAAACCCGUAACGCAAAACCCUAAACCCUAAACCCUAAACCCUAAACCCUAAACCUAAACCCAAAACCAUAAACCAUAAACCAUAAACCCCAAACCCUAAACCACAAACCAUAAACCAUAAACCCUAUACCCUAAACCCUAAACCCUAAACCCUAAACACUAAACCGUAAACCCUAAACACUAAAAUCAAACAAAAUGGACUAGAUAUGACGUAGACCCUUAACACUAAACCAUAAACCCGAACCGCAAAACACUAAAGCCUAAACCAUAAACCCUAAACCCUAAACCUAAAACCUAAAACCUAAAACCUAAAACCUAAAACCUAAAACCUAAAACCUAAAACCUAAAACCUAAAACCUAAAACCUAAAACCUAAAACCUAAAACCUAAAACCAAAAACCUAAAACCUAAAACCUAAAACCUAAAACCUAAAACCUAAAACCUAAAACCUAAAACCUAAAACCUAAAACCUAAAACCUAAAACCUAAAACCUAAAACCUAAAACCUAAAACCUAAAACCUAAAACCUAAAACCUAAAACCUAAAACCUAAAACCUAAAACCUAAAACCUAAAACCUAAAACCUAAAACCUAAAACCUAAAACCUAAAACCUAAAACCUAAAACCUAAAACCUAAAACCUAAAACCUAAAACCUAAAACCUAAAACCUAAAACCUAAAACAUAAAACCUAAAACCUAAAACCUAAAACCUAAAACCUAAAACCAAAAACCUAAAACCUAAAACCUAAAACCAAAAACCUAAAACCUAAAACCUAAAACCAAAAACCUAAAACCUAAAACCUAAAACCAAAAACCUAAAACCUAAAACCUAAAACCAAAAACCUAAAACCUAAAACCUAAAACCAAAAACCUAAAACCUAAAACCUAAAACCAAAAACCUAAAACCUAAAACCUAAAACCAAAAAAGUAAAACCUAAAACGUAAAACCUAAAACCUAAAACCUAAAACAUAAAACCUAAAACCUAAAACCUAAAACAUAAAACCUAAAACCAAAAACCAUAACAAAUUCCACAAUGACCUAAAAUUUUAAUAUGUGGAAUCUUUUGCACUUAUUACACAAACUACAUUGUUUUAGAAACAAAAUGGACUAGAUUCCACCUAGUAAAAAACAAAAUGAACUAAAAUCUAUAUCGAUUAAGAAUUAUGCUUUUAAUUAUUUCAUGAAAUACAUUGGUUAAAACCAAAACGGACUACAAUAGACUUAGGCCCUUAAACCAUAAAACAUAAACCCUAAACCCUAAUCCCUUAACCUAGUAAAGACCAAAAUAACCUAAAAUAUUAAUUUAUUGAGACUUUUGUACUUAUUGGACAAACUACAUAUAUAAGAAAUAAAAUUGACAGAAAGAAACAUAACAAAAACCAAAAGGACGUAAAAUCAAAAUCUAGUAACACGUAUGCACGUAUGCGACGAACUACAUUGAUUAAGAAACAAAAUGGACUAGAUAUCCUUUAACCCUAAAACAUAAACCCGAACCGCAAAACACUAAAGCCUAAACCCUAAACCCUAAUACCCUAAUACCCUAAACCCUAAACCCUAAACCCUAAACCCUAAACCCUAAACCCUAAACCCUAAACCUAAACCCAAAACCAUAAACCAUAAACCAUAAACCAUAAACCAUAAACCAUAAACCAUAAACCAUAAACCAUAAACCAUAAACCAUAAACCAUAAACCAUAAACCAUAAACCAUAAACCAUAAACCAUAAACCAUAAACCAUAAACCAUAAACCAUAAACCCUAAAACAUAAACCCUAAACCCUAAUCCGUAAACCCUAAACUCUAAACACUAAAACAAAACACCUAAGACCAAAAUGACCUUAAUCUUAAACCCUAAAUCCCAUACCCCAAACCCUAAAAUGAAUAAGAACUAAAAUGGAAAAAAAGAAACAUAUCAAAAACUAAAACGUCCUAAAUCUAAAUCAAGUGACACUUUUGCACUAAUAGGAUCACCUACAUUGAUUAACAACUAAAAUGGACAACAACAAAAAUAAUUGACAGAACGAACCAUAACAACAACAAAAAAUUACCUAAAAUCAAAAUCUAGUAACACUUAUGCACUUAUUCGAAGAACUACAUUGAUUCAGAAACAAAAUGGACUAGAUAUGACCUUGACCCUUAACCCUUAACCAUAAACCUGAACCGCAAAACACUAAAGCCUAAACCCUAAACCGUAAACCCUAAACACUAAAACCUAAAACCUAAACCCUAAUUCUUAAACCAAGUAAAGACCAAAAUCACCUAAAAUAUUAAUGCAUUUUGACUUUUGUUCUUAUUGGACGAACAAUAAUGAAUAGACCUAGAAUACACCUUGUAAAUAACAAAAUGAUCUAAAAUCUAUAUCCAUUGAGAAUUUUGUUUUAUUAAAACCCUAACCCCUAAACCCUAAACCCUAAACCCUAACCCCUAAACCCUAAACCCUAAACCCUAACCCCUAAACCCUAAACCCUAAACCCUAACCCCUAAACCCUAAACCCUAAACCCUAACCCCUAAACCCUAAACCCUAAACCCUAACCCCUAAACCCUAAACCCUAAACCCUAACCCCUAAACCCUAAACCCUAAACCCUAACCCCUAAACCCUAAACCCUAAACCCUAACCCCUAAACCCUAAACCCUAAACCCUAACCCCUAAACCCUAAACCCUAAACCCUAACCCCUAAACCCUAAACCCUAAACCCUAACCCCUAAACCCUAAACCCUAAACCCUAACCCCUAAACCCUAAACCCUAAACCCUAACCCCUAAACCCUAAACCCUAAACCCUAACCCCUAAACCCUAAACCCUAAACCCUAACCCCUAAACCCUAAACCCUAAACCCUAACCCCUAAACCCUAAACCCUAAACCCUAACCCCUAAACCCUAAACCCUAAACCCUAACCCCUAAACCCUAAACCCUAAACCCUAACCCCUAAACCCUAAACCCUAAACCCUAACCCCUAAACCCUAAACCCUAAACCCUAACCCCUAAACCCUAAACCCUAAACCCUAACCCCUAAACCCUAAACCCUAAACCCUAACCCCUAAACCCUAAACCCUAAACCCUAACCCCUAAACCCUAAACCCUAAACCCUAACCCCUAAACCCUAAACCCUAAACCCUAACCCCUAAACCCUAAACCCUAAACCCUAACCCCUAAACCCUAAACCCUAAACCCUAACCCCUAAACCCUAAACCCUAAACCCUAACCCCUAAACCCUAAACCCUAAACCCUAACCCCUAAACCCUAAACCCUAAACCCUAACCCCUAAACCCUAAACCCUAAACCCUAACCCCUAAACCCUAAACCCUAAACCCUAACCCCUAAACCCUAAACCCUAAACCCUAACCCCUAAACCCUAAACCCUAAACCCUAACCCCUAAACCCUAAACCCUAAACCCUAAACCCUAAACCCUAAACCCUAAACCCUAAACCCUAAACCCUAACCCCUAAACCCUAAACCCUAAACCCUAACCCCUAAACCCUAAACCCUAAACCCUACACCCUAAACCCUAAACCCUAAACCCUACACCCUAAACCCUAAACCCUAAACCCUACACCCUAAACCCUAAACCCUAAACCCUAAACCCUAAACCCUAAACCCUAAACCCUAAACCCUAAACCCUAAACCCUAAACCCUAAACCCUAAACCCUAAACCCUAAACCCUAAACCCUAAACCCUAAACCCUAAACCCUAAACCCUAAACCCUAAACCCUAAACCCUAAACCCUAAACCCUACACCCUAAACCCUAAACCCUAAACCCUA